CUGCAGGACUAACAACACUCAUUGUCCUACACCCAGUGAUACAUCUGGCAGUCUGACAUUACUAUCAAGAGACACGAACAUAGGCACACUAACAAGACAUUGGCCCCAAUGGAAUGGAACUACAAAUACUGGACUGACUGAUACAAUCAUAAAAAAGUAAAACUAAGAAGACGACGGCAGGAAUCAAAAUCAUGGCAAGAAAACCGACGGGAUAGUGAGAUCAUAAAAUGACUAAAAAGAAGAUGAAAGAUGAUCAUCAUCUAGUGAAGACCACCUUAGCACAAGACUGUUUAAAUGACAAAAUAAUAUCAUUUGUCAUCUAUAGAUGAAACAAUGACACCCAUCAGCCCAGCCCAACACAUCAAAGAGAUGAAAGACUGUGGGCAUCCUCCUCAGUUUUGCAUUAUUUUAAUGUAAGGAUGUGUCACCAAUAAGAACUUGGGAGUCUUUUUAGUUUCUCUGGACUAAGAAGAAAACAUCAGCAAUACAUGGAAUAUAAGACAAGUUUAAGUUAAAGAUAAGAUAAGUUUCUUAUCGCUUGGAAACAGUAAAACAGGAAAUUAUUCAGGAAGUGAUUCAGCUCUACAUCCCAGGUACUUCCCAUUGUGGCAGAGGAGUUGGCCUUUCCCGUUCAGUGCGAGACCGAUCCUCAUGGUUUGGAGUCUGUUGUGUUGUAUGGUGAUCAGUAUUAUCCCAUACGUUCUGUUGGGAACCACCAGCCAAGAGAUCGGGCUGUCGACAACUCGACUGGUACGGGUGGAGGAUUGGGACGCACAGGGUGGAGCCUGACUGGAGCAAGGAUGGAGAUUGUACUCAUCUUGGUUCUGCUGCUGAUUCUACUCAUUAUCAUAUUCUGUAUUUAAAUUCAAAAUGACUGACCAAACACUUCACCUUUGUUUUUCCACCUUGAACCACGAUCAAAUGUAAGGCUGAAUAUUUUUGAAUGUUCAUAAUAAAACU